UACGUAGGGUGCAAGCGUUAUCCGGAAUUAUUGGGCGUAAAGAGCUCGUAGGCGGUUUGUCGCGUCUGCUGUGAAAACUGGGAGCUCAACCCCCAGCCUGCAGUGGGUACGGGCAGACUAGAGUGCGGUAGGGGAGAUUGGAAUUCCUGGUGUAGCGGUGGAAUGCGCAGAUAUCAGGAGGAACACCGAUGGCGAAGGCAGAUCUCUGGGCCGUAACUGACGCUGAGGAGCGAAAGCAUGGGGAGCGAACAGG
rnacentral:rRNA from 1 species